rnacentral:lncRNA from 1 species
CUAAAGACAAAAGAGCACAAACAAGGUGGGGCCUAUUACCCCCAGGAACACAUUUGUAGGACUAGUGGCUCAACUUGGUUUAUUUCUCAUGGCAAGUGACAAAGCUACAACAGCAAGAGAAACUAUUCAAGUGUAUUCAGUGCCUCUUCUUGCAUUGAAUUUAUUAACAUCCCAUUACCUGAAGCAAAUCACGUGGCUCAACCCAAAGUUAGCAGGCUAAUGUUGAACAUGUGCUAAAUCUUGCAAGAAUAUCUGCUAUGAAAAUAAAAGUAGAGCUAAUUAGAAAUUAAUCAAAAUGAUUAACUUCUGCAUUCCUUCAGCCAAUGAAUCACUUUAAAAGAUGUCAAUGAAAAUCCCCAGGAGACCAUUUUAGGUAAGAUUUUUGUUUAAAUUUUAAAAUGUAUAGAAACCUAAAGAGUAGCAUUUUACAUA